rnacentral:rRNA from 1 species
CCUGGUUGAUCCUGCCAGUAGCAUUUACUUGUCUCAAGAUCAAGCCAUGAAUGUGUAAGUAUACAUGGCUGGCACAGAGAAACUGUGAAUGGUCCAUCAAAUUAGUAAUGGUUCCUUAGUUCAUUCCAUCUGUUACUUGGGAAUUGCAGAGACAAUACAUGAUGAUGAGCGCUGAACUUCAAGGAUGCAUACAUCAAUAAUACCAAGAUCAAUCAGGGCUCGCCUGGCUGCUAUGGUGACUCGAGACAACGUGGAAGCUAUUGCAUGUCCCUGUGAUGGAGACGAUACAGUUAGAUGUCUGUGCUAUCAACUUUCAAUUGUAGUGCUUGUCCAAACAAUGGUGACCAUCAGUAACAGAGAAUCAUGGUUCCAUACCAUAGAGAGAGCCUAGGAAAUGGCUACGAUACCCAAGGAUGUCAGCAGAUGCAUAUAUUACCCUUCCCCGAAUGGGGGAGAUUGUGAUGAAAAAUAACAAUACAGGACUCUCACGAGGCCCAGUAAUCGGAAUGAGUACACUUUAAAUCCAUUAACAAGGAUCUAUCUGAGGGCAUGUCUGGUGCCACUAUCUGCCAUAAUUCCAGCUCAAAUAGCAUAUCUGAAAGUUGAUGCAGUUAGAAAUGCAGGUAGUUGGAUCCAGGGAUCAUGCUGUUGGACUACUGUGAAGUGAGCAACUGUUUGUCCCAGCCCCUGCCUCUUUGCAGCCCCUUGAUGCACUUGACUGAGUGUCCUGGGGGUCGAAAGCAUUUACUUAGACUAAAUUAGAGUGUUUAAAGGAGGUCGGUCACCUGAAUACCUCAGCCAGGAUUAAUUGAACAUGACUCUGUUUCUAUUGUGUAGGUUGUUUGGAACAGGUGCCAUGAUGAAGAGAGACAACUGGGGGCCUUUGUAAUGUGCUGCUAGAGUUGUGACUCUUGGAAUGGGUCAAGAUGAUACAAAGUGAAAACAGUUGCCAAGAAUGUCUUCAUCAAUCCAGAAUGAAAGUCUGAAGUGUGCAGAUGAUAAGAUACCAUCAUAGGUCAGACCGUAAAUGAUGCUGACUAGCUAUGUGGUGGCGUAAUUCCCACUACCCUUCUAGGAACGCAUACUCUCAGUGUUCCAGGGUGAGUAUGCUUGCAAAGAAACAUGGAAAACCACACCUGACCUAGACACGAAAAUGAUGGUAAAAUUGAUGGCUCUGUUUCCAUUCAGUGGUUGCAGGUGUAUGGCUGUUCUUAGUUUGCCGGAGCAAUUUUUGUGGUGAAUUCUGAUAAUGAACAAGACUCCACCAUGCCAACUGGUCUUGUGACCCCCAGUGGUUGCUGUUCAACUUCUUAGCAGGACUAGUGGUGUACAGCCACCCAAGAUCAAGUAAGAACAUACUUGUGCUGCACUUAGAUGACUGUGCGACACUGAAUGGAUCACUUUGUGUCUACCCUUCACUGACACAUGCAGGUAACCUGAAAAUGUAUGAUGCUGAAGUGACAGGCCCAUAUCUGGCCAUUGUCGGCACUGAAAUCUGCUGUGGCAGAUGUGCCGCAAAGGUCUACAUCCUUGCAGCUGCACUGCAAGCUGCAGGUGAAACUCCCACCAACCCUGAGUGUACCUGCAUGGGUGUGCGCUGGACGGGGAGUGCUCUAUACCCACUCCGGUCUGCCUAGCAGUCUGGAUGGCCUGGGGCCAGCUUGCGGCAGCCAGAGUGGCUUUACCUAACAAGUGGGUG